GUCUACAGCCAUACCACCCUGAACGCGUCCGAUCUCGUCUGAUCUCAGAAGCUAAGAAAGGUCGGGCCUGAUUAGUACUUGGAUGGGAGAAUGGGAAGCAUGGUGUUCAGAGU
ensembl:rRNA 5S_rRNA 5S ribosomal RNA